CAAUAGCGUAUAUUAAAGUUGUUGCAGUUAAAAAGCUCGUAGUUGGAUUUGUGGCGUACGGUGUGUUCCGGGCACUUGUUGUCUGAGUAACCUGCUGUUGCCAUCCUUGGGUGGAACCUGUGUGGCAUUAGGUUGUCGUGCAGGGGAUGCCCAUCAUUUACUGUGAAAAAAUUAGAGUGUUCAAAGCAGGCUUAUGCCGUUGAAUAUAUUAGCAUGGAAUAAUGAGAUAGGACUUUUUUGCUAUUUUGUUGGUUUGCGCAGAGAGGUAAUGAUUAAUAGGGACAGUUGGGGGUAUUCGUAUUCCAUUGUCAGAGGUGAAAUUCUUGGAUUUUUGGAAGACGAACUACUGCGAAAGCAUUUACCAAGGAUGUUUUCAUUAA
rnacentral:rRNA from 1 species